rnacentral:lncRNA from 1 species
GACAUUACAAAGGAGCUCUGUGUCAGAAGCUAGGAUUAAAGAACAAAUACAGAACAAAUUAUUCCUCCAGCACCCCUACUGCAAGGAUUUUAAGAACUCUAUCUCAGGAUAAAGACCUGAGGGUCACAAGAUGUACAUUGCUGGCCUCAGCUGGAUUUUCCCAGGGUCAGGUGCCCAUUCCUACCUAAUCAAAGGACACUUCUGCUGACCUGCACCUAGAAUACCCUGUUCUGUGCUGAUGACUCAGAUGUAAGAAUGAUGAAGUGCAUCGGCUGGCAUGCAGAGAACAAUAAGAAAAAGAACUGAGUUGUGGGAAGACAUGAGGAAAGGACAUGAGGCUCUUAAUAACAGCUGCCAAGUACUGCAGUCGGGAAUCUGGAGCAAAGUGAUUCAAUUCUGACCACUGCCUGUGAGUAAAUGGGAUUUUAUUUUUCAAUACUUUUGUUUAAUAGUACCUCCUUCAUUACAUGUGAACAGCACUCCAGGACAGUAAAUCAUGAAAUGGGAAUAAAGCCUGUAAUUUUAAUUAACAUAUUUUAAAAUGUUUCUAAUUUGUAUGCAUUUGAUCAAAUUUUCAUUUGCAUUGAGCUAUUUUUUUUCUUUCUCAUGUAAUGUUUGACAUUACCAUUUCUUUCUUUAAUGAAAUACUAAUAUUUAAUAAAAUAUAUUACAUCC